rnacentral:rRNA from 1 species
UACGUAGGGUGCAAGCGUUAAUCGGAAUUACUGGGCGUAAAGCGUGCGCAGGCGGUUUUGUAAGUCUGUCGUGAAAUCCCCGGGCUCAACCUGGGAAUUGCGAUGGAGACUGCAAGGCUAGAAUCUGGCAGAGGGGGGUAGAAUUCCACGUGUGAGCAGUGAAAUGCGUAGAGAUGUGGAGGAACACCGAUGGCGAAGGCAGCCCCCUGGGUCAAGAUUGACGCUCAUGCAC